UUGGAGGGAGGAAGGAGCCGGGUGCCUGGAGCUCCGGGUCCAAGGGAGAGCGCGGUCCGUAGCGGUGAGGGGCUGGACGUAGAGAAGCAGGGGGCUGGGGACAGAGACCCUGGGGCUGGUGGAGGAAGGGGCUGUGGUCCCUGACGGAGCCCAUCUUCCCUCACCUCCGUGAAACCGAGCGACAUUGCGCCGAAACGUUUCCUUUUCCCGAGUCAACAUCGCGGAGAACUCCUUCACGAAAGUGUCAUCUGGGAAGAAGCAGGGUGACAGGGAGUGCGACCCCUCCGCUCCCCACCCCAGGAGUGAGGUGCAGAAACUCCGGGCAGGAAGCAGGCAGCCGGCUAGCGCCGCCACCAGGAGGGCAACUUGGGGACCCAUUUCCCCAGGGCGCUCAGCCCCAGCAGAACCCCGGGGAGGGUCCGCCCACCCCACACGGAGGAGGAAGUGAUCGCUAAGGGGAAAGAACCCUUUCCCGGAGACAAGACCCCCAAUUUGUUGGGCUCCCACUUCUCGGUUAGGAAACCGAGGAGUCCGGAGUCCCGAUGCACCCUGAACAGCCGCUCUCCGACCUUGAGCUUGAAGGGUGUACCCUCGAAUACACGUAGGGUUCACUGAAUAGCGGAAUCCAGGCUGAGGGCAUUUAGAGGGACGAGCCGGCCACCUCCCUCCAGUCUAUUUUGCCAUGAAUCCUAUUAAGGAUGUUGUUGGAGCGAGGGUGAGGUUGGUCACGUGACGUGGAGAACUUUGUGACUGGAGUCAGGCUCGAGCAUCGCCUCAAUGUACAAUGGAAUCCCACAGCCGCCGCCUUCUACCUGCCUACACUGGGCCCCCGACUUCCCUAGAGACACUCCCAGGAAGCUCCAUUGGCCCCGCCCAGAAAUCCAACUCUGAGUCUGAUUGGACGGCAACAAAGGGAGGCUCCGCCUAUGGUUCCAGGAUGAUGCGGACCGCCCCCUCUCACGCUAGACCUUUUCAUGUUUUCCUUCCAGAUGAGGCCCUUGAGCGGUCGGGUUGGGGUAGAGGGGUGGCUCAGACUAAUGAGUGCGGGUGGAGGAGAAGGAUGGGAGCCUAACUCCUGGGUGCUCUCAUGGGAGAUGCCUGGGGACUGGCUCUUGGGUCUGAAGUAGGAGGCGUGAGGAUCCCCGGGUCCCCGAUUCUUACCCUGCGUCAAGUCCCAACAGCACCCCGGAGCACAACCGUGCUCCCUGGUGGGUUCCCAAACCCGCUGUUCAUGUUCAGCCUUUGCCUCUGCCCCCGCUCGCAGCAGUGGCUGGGGGACAGGAAAACCCCAGAGGAAAGCCGGCUGGAAGAGUGAGGAGGGGGCGUCCUGUCAAGAGAUGGGCCUGGGGGAGGAGAUCUGGGUAGGGCUGGCUCUUCCCCACUCCUCGGUGCUGGAAUUACAUCUGAGCCGGGUGGCCCUGCCAUGACGAAGGGACCCCGCUUCCGGGUCUCUCCUAGGACAGGAGACCAGCCCCAGAGCUCUCCUCUCAGGAAACCAAAACUGAGGAUCAGACCCGAGGAAAUGAAUCUGACAGUUCAGCAACCGGAUAAAUCUUUAUUUGUCACUUGGUCCUGAGUCCUUGUCCUUCGGUACUUUGAGAACGUGGCUCUGUGACAGCUGACUCUGUGGAGCCUGGUCCCGCGGAGCAGCUGCCAUUUCGGUGUGGUGUCUGGACUUUAUGGAAUCGAUCACCACCCCAGACCGAAAGCAGAGUAUGCUGGGGGAGGGUGGGGCACAAAACGUGGUAAAGGAUCAGGUCCCCAGUGAGGGACACCUUCCCCAGCCUCCUAAUAUCUGAUCGUUUUCUAGCAGUGGCCUAAGCUUUGCCCACCUGGGUAAGCCCCACCCAGUUUUCUAAGCCCCAUCCCCCACAGGACCUCUCCUGCAGUAGGAAGGUGGAGACCCCGCCCCUCUCUCCGCGUCCGGCCUCUUCAGUGGCUGGCUCACCCGGUGACAAAGCCCAGGAUCAGCAGCAAAAAGGACCAGAGCAGCAGCCCUACCAGAAGGCCUGUCUGCACGUUCUUCGGGUUUGAACACUCGGAGGGCCGGAGGGUUGGGGAAAGGUCACCCCAGAUUUCCUCAGCCUCGGUUCCAAUGGCUGGGGACUGUGUUCUAAUGGUUGGUGACUGGGUUUCAGUGGUUGAUGGCUGGGUUACAAAGGUUGAAGACUUGGACUUUAUCUCCCCAAAGAUUCUUUGAGGCAACACUGACAGAGGAGAGGGAAAGAGCCGACCUCAGCAGGCCCCAAGGGUCCGCCCUGGCCCAGGCAUGCUCUCUCCACACCAACCUCCCCCAAGACCCAGGCCUUCAAGGAGAUAAUUAUGACCUUCACUGCUGGAAGGCCGGUCAAUGAGAGCGGUGGCCACAGCUAGAACGGGGAGCCCCACCCCCGUGGCCUGAAUCCACACCCCGAAGGGAAGUUUUAACCCGAAGACCACGCCCCCACGCUGCCUGCCAUCCCCCAAACCCAGGACCCUGACUCCCACACCUCCGUGGACUCCCCAGCUCUGACCUGUGACUUCAAAAUGGAUGACCGUGGCUGGGCCGGAUCGCUCAAUGCCCAACUCGCAGCGGACAGGAGACCAGCCCAGACCUCUCCUCUGGGGAAACCAAAACCGAGGAUCAGACCUGAGGAAAUGAACUUGAUGUAGAGACAACCAGAUAAAUCUUUAUUUGCGCCUUGGCACUGUGGCCUUUUCCUUUGGAACUUUCCAAACCUUCGGAACCUGGGUUUCUGAAAGCCAACUGUGUGAGCGCUGGUCAUGUGACAGCUGGCUCUGUGACAGCCAACUCUGUGGAAGCUGGUCCUGUGGAGCAGCUGCCUUGUCGGUGCGGAAUCUGGACUUUAUGGGAUCGAUCACCAUCCCAGACCGAAAGCAAAAGCUGUGCUGCGCGUCUGCGCGACUUCAGUGUUGAGUAACCAGAUGCUGUUUUAUACCUUAAGAGAAAGUUCCCUUCAUCUGGAAGAGCAAACCUUAAAGGACCGGCAAUAUUUCCAACAAGAGUCACAAAACUCGAACCUGUUCCUCACUUCAUUUAGUCCACUGUUCCUAAUUCUUGUCCAGUUUGAAGGCAGCUUCUCACCCAUUUAAGUAUUCAUCUUGGAAAUGUCAAAUAUCUCUCUUUGUCCUAAAAAUCCUUUUGAUUAAUCUCCUUGAAGAUGAGUAUCAGAACCACAACUAUAAAUGACAAAAUGUCAGAAAUGGACAUGAUAUGAGAGUUCAUUAUGAUGCAGUUAGCAAGGUCAUCCAGUGUUCAAAGACACAUAAUACUUUGAUAGUCGGAGUACCAAAGGAAGACCCUAUACCAAAACAUUAAAAGUUUAGGAAUCACAUAUAUAUUUGAACAGUUCUAGCAUUUACCCAUGCAAUACCAUUAUUUGUUGGAAAGUGGUUCCAGAGUAACUUAAUAUGCCAGAAAAUGCCUAAUUGGUAAAAAAAAAAAAGACAUCAUUUAUGAUUUAAAUGCGGGAAAGUUUGCUAAAACCUCAGUAAGCUACAAAGCACAUCCUAAAUAGGAUUACAGAUCAUUACAAAUCGUCAAACUUUACAUUAUUUAUUUAACCAGGAUGGCAACAAGAGAUCCCAAAGGCAAACAUGUAAGGUUAUACAGUUGUUAGCAAAACUUAGCUCCUUUAACACU